rnacentral:rRNA from 1 species
GAUGAACGCUGGCGGCGUGCCUAAUACAUGCAAGUCGAGCGAACGGACGAGAAGCUUGCUUCUCUGAUGUUAGCGGCGGACGGGUGAGUAACACGUGGAUAACCUACCUAUAAGACUGGGAUAACUUCGGGAAACCGGAGCUAAUACCGGAUAAUAUUUUGAACCGCAUGGUUCAAAAGUGAAAGACGGUCUUGCUGUCACUUAUAGAUGGAUCCGCGCUGCAUUAGCUAGUUGGUAAGGUAACGGCUUACCAAGGCAACGAUGCAUAGCCGACCUGAGAGGGUGAUCGGCCACACUGGAACUGAGACACGGUCCAGACUCCUACGGGAGGCAGCAGUAGGGAAUCUUCCGCAAUGGGCGAAAGCCUGACGGAGCAACGCCGCGUGAGUGAUGAAGGUCUUCGGAUCGUAAAACUCUGUUAUCAGGGAAGAACAUAUGUGUAAGUAACUGUGCACAUCUUGACGGUACCUAAUCAGAAAGCCACGGCUAACUACGUGCCAGCAGCCGCGGUAAUACGUAGGUGGCAAGCGUUAUCCGGAAUUAUUGGGCGUAAAGCGCGCGUAGGCGGUUUUUUAAGUCUGAUGUGAAAGCCCACGGCUCAACCGUGGAGGGUCAUUGGAAACUGGAAAACUUGAGUGCAGAAGAGGAAAGUGGAAUUCCAUGUGUAGCGGUGAAAUGCGCAGAGAUAUGGAGGAACACCAGUGGCGAAGGCGACUUUCUGGUCUGUAACUGACGCUGAUGUGCGAAAGCGUGGGGAUCAAACAGGAUUAGAUACCCUGGUAGUCCACGCCGUAAACGAUGAGUGCUAAGUGUUAGGGGGUUUCCGCCCCUUAGUGCUGCAGCUAACGCAUUAAGCACUCCGCCUGGGGAGUACGACCGCAAGGUUGAAACUCAAAGGAAUUGACGGGGACCCGCACAAGCGGUGGAGCAUGUGGUUUAAUUCGAAGCAACGCGAAGAACCUUACCAAAUCUUGACAUCCUUUGACAACUCUAGAGAUAGAGCUUUCCCCUUCGGGGGACAAAGUGACAGGUGGUGCAUGGUUGUCGUCAGCUCGUGUCGUGAGAUGUUGGGUUAAGUCCCGCAACGAGCGCAACCCUUAAGCUUAGUUGCCAUCAUUAAGUUGGGCACUCUAAGUUGACUGCCGGUGACAAACCGGAGGAAGGUGGGGAUGACGUCAAAUCAUCAUGCCCCUUAUGAUUUGGGCUACACACGUGCUACAAUGGACAAUACAAAGGGCAGCGAAACCGCGAGGUCAAGCAAAUCCCAUAAAGUUGUUCUCAGUUCGGAUUGUAGUCUGCAACUCGACUACAUGAAGCUGGAAUCGCUAGUAAUCGUAGAUCAGCAUGCUACGGUGAAUACGUUCCAGGGUCU